rnacentral:rRNA from 1 species
AAUAGAUACCCAGGUAGUCCACGCCGUAAACGAUGAGUGCUAAGUGUUAGAGGGUUUCCGCCCUUUAGUGCUGCAGCUAAUGCAUUAAGCACGUCCGCCUGGGGAGUACGGUCGCAAGACUGAAACUCAAAGGGAAUUGACGGGGGCCCGCACAAGCGGUGGAGCAUGUGGUUUAAUUCGAAGCAACGCGAAGAACCUUACCAGGUCUUGACAUCCUCUGACAACUCUAGAGAUAGAGCGUUCCCCUUCGGGGGACAGAGUGACAGGUGGUGCAUGGUUGUCGUCAGCUCGUGUCGUGAGAUGUUGGGUUAAGUCCCGCAACGAGCGCAACCCUUGAUCUUAGUUGCCAGCAUUCAGUUGGGCACUCUAAGGUGACUGCCGGUGACAAACCGGAGGAAGGUGGGGAUGACGUCAAAUCAUCAUGCCCCUUAUGACCUGGGCUACACACGUGCUACAAUGGAUGGUACAAAGGGCUGCAAGACCGCGAGGUCAAGCCAAUCCCAUAAAACCAUUCUCAGUUCGGAUUG